rnacentral:rRNA from 1 species
GUGGGGAAUUUUGGACAAUGGGCGCAAGCCUGAUCCAGCCAUUCCGCGUGCAGGAUGAAGGCCUUCGGGUUGUAGACUGCUUUUGUACGGAACGAAAAGCCUCUGGUUAAUACCCGGGGGUCAUGACGGUACCGUAAGAAUAAGCACCGGCUAACUACGUGCCAGCAGCCGCGGUAAUACGUAGGGUGCGAGCGUUAAUCGGAAUUACUGGGCGUAAAGCGUGCGCAGGCGGUGAUGUAAGACAGUUGUGAAAUCCCCGGGCUCAACCUGGGAACUGCAUCUGUGACUGCAUUGCUGGAGUGCGGCAGAGGGGGAUGGAAUUCCGCGUGUAGCAGUGAAAUGCGUAGAUAUGCGGAGGAACACCGAUGGCGAAGGCAAUCCCCUGGGCCUGCACUGACGCUCAUGCACGAAAGCGUGGGGAGCAAACAGGAUUAGAAACCCUGGUAGUCC